rnacentral:rRNA from 1 species
ACGUAGGAGACGAGCGUUAUCCGGAUUUACUGGGCGUAAAGUGCGUGCAGGCGGUUUUUUAAGUCACUUGUGAAAGCGCCCGGCUCAACUGGGCGAGGCCGUGUGAGACUGAAAAACUGGAGAGAGGUAGAGGCGAAUGGAAUUCCGGGUGUAGUGGUGAAAUGCGUAGGGAUCCGGAGGAACACCAGAGGCGAAGGCGGCACCCUGGACGACACCAGACGCUGAGACGCGACAGCACGGGGAGCGAACGG